UUUGCAUCUGGGGCAGUGAGGAUGAGAACCUCCGGGGGCAGGAGGUUCGACUCGAGCGAAGCGAGAGAACGUUGCGUCAGCAACGGCCCGCAGG
rnacentral:sRNA from 1 species